CCCGGCGCCAAAAAGCGGGAACGCGGCGAGAACUUGAGCGCGACACCCCGGACUCCCCCGGCGGAGGCCAGGCGCAGCCCGUCUCAGCGGCGCGGCGGCGACCCGCGGGGCUCCGGGAAGAGCGGGCACCACCAGCCGCCCCGCUGGCCGCCGCCGGCAACUUUUCCUCCCUCCCGCCGCCACCCGCCCCUCGCCGCGCCGCCCCGGGUCAUCCGUUGCCCGCCCGCCCCCCGCAGCCGCCACCCCGCGCCCCCGGCCACCGCCCGCAGCGCCCCGCUACCCACCUCGGCUGCGAAGUGACGGGGGUCCCCCCGCUGCCGCCGCGGAGCCGCUUUUCCCCCUCUCCCCUCCUCCCCGCUCCGGUCGCCGCCUCUGCCCGGAGCCGGAUACGGAGAGAAACUGAUUCGCGUGGCCGCUUCCCUCGUUCUUCGCGCCGCCUCCCUCGGCGGAGCGCUCGGCAGCGGCCCCGAGCAGGCAAAACGCCGGCAGCGCCGAGGGCAGAGGCGCCCCGGCCACCCCCGCUCGGAAACUCUCCGGGGAAAGCAGCGCGAGCGAGCCCGGCUCCCCGCCGCCCCGCGCUGCCAAUCACGGGGGCGGCCCCGCGCGGAUUGGGCGGCCCCGCCGCCAGCAACCCCCCCUCCGGCAACUCGGGGCGCGCCGCCGGGGGCAGGACCCGCGGUCACCGCGCUGCGACGAGGAAGGGAGCCGCGGGGCCGGCGGCAAAUUCCUCCACGCGCGCCCUCGCGUCCCCGGUGCUCCCGCCGCCCCUCCGGCGCUGCGCCGUCGCCCGGCGAGACCUGCCCGCCCCCAGCGGCCCCGCCGGAGCCCCCCGCCGCGUGGGCAGGAAGGGCGGGGGCCGGCGGCCGUUCCGCGCUGUGAGGCGAUACCUCGGCUGCAGCCUGGUGAGGGCUUCCCCGAGGUUCCUCUGGUUGUCCUCUGGAGACCUUGGCAUCUGAGAUAAGGCACCUACCAAAGAUGCUUAGAAUAAGGCAACACAAAUACCCCGCUUUGAUGUGCUGUGCAGAGUUACACAAUGGAAACUCUGAAGAGCUUGUUAUAAAUCCUACCCUUCAGCAGCAGGACCUAACCGAGUGCUGCAGAGCAGCACCCUUCCAAGAGAAGGCACCCCACCUUCUCCUGGGGACAACUCUCUGCCCCCUUCCAGCAAGAACCACAGGGGAGGCUGUGUGCUGUGCUACAGGAAGUGAACCAACAGCGGGCCCUGAAAAAGUCAGCACAGAGCAGGAAUGCUACUGCAGGCCAGUACCUGUCUGCACAAGGCUGCUGUCCAGGCAGCAAGGAAGGCACUGAACAGCUCACCUG
rnacentral:lncRNA from 1 species